rnacentral:rRNA from 1 species
UACGGAGGGUGCAAGCGUUGUCCGGAUUCAUUGGGUUUAAAGGGUGCGCAGGCGGGACAUUAAGUCAGGGGUGAAAGACGGUUGCUCAACAAUCGCAGUGCCUUUGAUACUGGUGUUCUUGGGUAACCUUGAGGUAGGCGGAAUGGGUGGUGUAGCGGUGAAAUGCAUAGAUACCACCCAGAACUCCGAUUGCGAAGGCAGCCUACUGGAGGUCAACCGACGCUCAGGCACGAAAGCCAGGGGAGCGAACGGG